UGUUUCUCAUUCCCUGAUUACCUCCUGUGUAUUUAGUGUCACCUGUGUGUCUGUGUCUUUGUCGGGUCCUCGUCUCAUUUGGCGUCUUUGCUAUCUUAUGUGUGUUCAGUCCGUCGUCAGUCCAGUCUUUUACCUAGUUGCUACCUGUGAUGAGCCUUGGUCUUCGCUCAACAGUGCUGCCUUGGAUUUUGGACUGUUUUUGUCUUUAUUAAACUUCAUUCACCUCACUACAACCUGGGUCUCAAGCGUCUGCCUCACCACCUACAUCGCAUUUCUUGACAAUAGAAGAGAGUACUGGACUCCAGGCUUGAAUAGUUUCAUGUUUCUGAGCAGGACAGGAUCCGCAAUUUGAAACAGUUUCCUCAACCAGAAGCAGCUGCUCUACUUUCUAUAGAAAAUCUGUGGGAUGAUCAGAAGAAAAGAAAGUAUAAAAGAGGAUCCAGGAAUCUGAAAGACAUAUUGCACAGAGGGUAAAGACCAAAGGACUUUGUUGGUAUAUGUACGAAUAUUGUGAAAUGUUAUAGAAAAACACGAAAUACUGAUCAAUUUCAAAAAAUGUGUUGUAAUACACAUCAAUCAACAUUUGUGCCACCAUUGAUUUUUCUGCUGCAAAUAUCUUAAGGUUUGUGCACAUCUUUAACAAGUGGACCAAUCAAAGUAACUCUGCAUUUCAUAUUGAGCAUAAAGAGGCUUCAGGAACAUUUUAGAGGUGACUUUGAAGUAACGCAAUUAAUUUAGGUUCUAAUAUUUUCACAUUGAUGUCUUAGAUGUCUUACGGAAAUUUUGACCUCCUGUUUCAUUAGAUUCUUUAUUCCUUAAUAAAUAAACUACUGGCAGCUCCUGGCUCCCUCCAGUCCAGCGUUUCAUUGGAGUUUGUGUUGUUGGUUCAGAUUCCACGUUGUAAACCUUUUUUAUGUGUCUCCGUCCAGGACAAACUGUGUCCCGGUCCUGGCAGACACGCAGCAUGGGGGACAACAGGUCUUUGUGUGCCAACCUUUCCCUCCUGGGGCUUUGUGCUUCUUAACCAAAACCACUAAUUAGCAUGACUUGUUGAUGGUGGCAGCAAGGAAGCUAGUAGUCACAGGAUCAUUCAUGUGACAGGAUCAGAGGAUACACACCACAACAUGAAGAGGAGCAGAUUCUUCACAGAGGGACAAAAGGACGACGGUGCCAUCUUACCCCAAUCCUCUGAGGCGUUGAAUUAGACCUGAGACAUUCUGCACCUGAGGUGCAACAGUGGCUGCCUGAGUGGAAACCCCCCAUCAGGAGGAUGAGGAACGCCACCGUGGAGCCCAGCAUAUCAGUUUAAUAAGCUCUACUUACAACUGAUUAAAUCAUGAACACAAGCUGCUGCUGUUUUAUGAGUUAAUCACAUUAAAAUGCUGCUGCAUGAAUCACAAGCCAAUUGAUUUUCUCCCGCCAUGAAACGGAAGACCACCCAGAGAUCAACAGUGAAGGUCUGCCACUGGAGGUCCCCGGUGAUUUUCUGAGAUCUGCCUGAAUGCAACGGGAGAGUUUCAGAUCGAUAAGAUUCAGACGCCUGAACAGCUGGAACGUGGAAAAACGUUCCAUCACAGGCGGGGAACUGUUUGGUUCUGCAGUUUUUAGAGAACAGCAGGAACGAUGCGACAAGAACCAAACAGAAUCGCAGUAAAUAGCGGUUUACGAUCAGCUAAAAAUCUGUUGGUACAUAAUCAAUAAAUCAAUACAAUUAAGCAUAUAACACUUCUGGAACUUUAAGUCUGCUAUUGUUUAAAUGUGACUAAAAUUCUUCAAAUUACUUUUAUUUCUUAUCUGUUUUUUCCUCUUGUCUCAUUAGCUUAACUUUAUGUCAGCAUCUUUUCCCUCCUGCAUUCCAGGCUGCAGCAUCUCCAGGUCUGCCUGAAUUAAGAGGCCCUGGAGCCAAUGAUGUGACUACUUUUCUGCUGUUACUCUCCAGUAAUUCCUGCUAUUGACUUUGAGUUCUCUCUCUGCGAGUUGCUGUUUUUAUUCCUGACCUCUCAUCCCUCGGCCAGUAGCUGCAGAUUGUUGUUUAUGCUCAGCCUUGUUCUUCCAGUCAAAAGGCGGCGGUUUGGCACUGCAUGCUUGCUCAGGAUGAGGGAUUGCUGCAAAGUCAGUGACUCAACUGUUUGCAAUGACUAAUAUGGAUAGGUUUUGUGCUGAAUUGGUGCUUAGUAAAUAAACCUAUUUUUGAAGUAUGAGGCCGCAGUUCUCAAUCAGAAGAAGGUGUACAUCUCCCCUCUGGUCUGGUGUCAAACUUUGCCUAAGGGUAAAAUGUUCUUCACCAGUGAUAUUAGGGUAGAAUGAGACAUGGAGAGAUGGACUGAAGCUUUGUUUGCAUGGGCUUGUGUUUUGUUUCCAUCUGGUCAUAAGAAAUGGAUCCAACUGAAGGAAGCAGUUGAUUGGGAGAUCUUAUUAGGAUGUCCUCUUAUUUCCACCUUUUGGUGGUUUUCCCACUGAGACCAGUCAUGUAGAAGGGUUUUUUUUUUUAUCCCUUCCAGCUUUGGAAUCAGGUACCCCAAAGUGUGUGGCAGACACAGGUUGUGUCAUAACUCAGUUUAAUGUCUCUGUUUUUUCUGAAUGAAACAAAUGAAGAAAUUAAAUAAAAUGAAGUGAAAAAAG